UACGGGGGGGGCAAGCGUUGUUCGGAAUUACUGGGCGUAAAGGGCUCGUAGGCGGCCAACUAAGUCAGACGUGAAAUCCCUCGGCUUAACCGGGGAACUGCGUUUGAUACUGGAUGGCUUGAGUUUGGGAGAGGGAUGCGGAAUUCCAGGUGUAGCGGUGAAAUGCGUAGAUAUCUGGAGGAACACCGGUGGCGAAGGCGGCAUCCUGGACCAACACUGACGCUGAGGAGCGAAAGCCAGGGGAGCAAACGGG
rnacentral:rRNA from 1 species